GGAAUAUAAGAAACCGGCUCUUAACUUUUAACGAAAAAAAACUAAGAACCGACUCUUAAAUAAGAUAUUUAAAAACUGGUUCUUAGUUAAAAGUUAAGAGACAGUUUUUUAUAUUCC
rfam:Brassica napus, WGS project CCCW01000000 data, contig: 16176